GGGAAGUUAGUCAAGUGGUAAGACACUGGGGAAAGCAGAAUAAUCGUAAACAUAAAAAUCGAUACCACCAGAGACAUAGGUUCGAUUCUUAUACUCCCCA
rnacentral:tRNA from 2 species